UGUUUGGACUAAAUUUAAAAU
rnacentral:piRNA from 1 species